GUGGUUUUAGCUCAGUUGGUUAGAGCAUCGGUUUGUGGUACCGAGGGUCGUGGGUUCGAGCCCCAUAUUCCACCCCG
rnacentral:tRNA from 2 species